rnacentral:rRNA from 1 species
AUGUCUUCCUCCUCCGCCUCCUUCCAGUCGAUGUUCGGCGGUGGGGCCCCGGAGAAGCUCACCCGCACCAACUAUGUGCUGUGGCGGACACAGAUCACGCCGCAGCUGCGGGGCGCCGGCAUCUUCCAUUACGUCGACGGCACGGCAGCCGAGCCGGCCAAAGACCUCACCACCAAGGACGCCGCCGGCAAGGAGACCACUGAGCCGAACCCCCUCCAUCCGAUUUGGGUGAAGGAGGAUCAGCAGGUCCUUGGAUAUCUACUCCAACACUUGUCCAAGGAAGUGCUCGCCACGGUGACCACGAUC